UACGUAGGCAGCGAGCGUUGUUCGGAAUUACUGGGCGUAAAGAGUGUGUAGGCGGUGCUCCAAGUCUGUUGUGAAAUCUCCCGGCUUAACUGGGAGGGUGCAGCGGAAACUGGAAUGCUUGAGGGUGGGAGAGGUAAGCGGAAUUCCUGGUGUAGCGGUGAAAUGCGUAGAUAUCAGGAGGAACACCUGUGGUGUAGACAGCUUACUGGACCACUUCUGACGCUGAGACACGAAAGCGUGGGUAGCAAACAGG
rnacentral:rRNA from 1 species